rnacentral:rRNA from 1 species
GAUCCUGGCUCAGGAUGAACGCUAGCUACAGGCUUAACACAUGCAAGUCGAGGGGCAGCAUGGUCUUAGCUUGCUAAGACUGAUGGCGACCGGCGCACGGGUGAGUAACGCGUAUCCAACCUGCCCAUCACUUGGGAAUAACCUUGCGAAAGUAAGACUAAUACCCAAUGAUAUCCCACGAAGGCAUCCGAAUGGGAUUAAAGAUUUAUCGGUGAUGGAUGGGGAUGCGU